AUACAGAGGGUGCGAGCGUUAAUCGGAAUUACAGGGCGUAAAGCGCGCGUAGGCGGCUACUUAAGUCAGAUGUGAAAUCCCCGGGCUCAACCUGGGAACUGCAUCUGAUACUGGGUAGCUAGAGUUUUGGAGAGGGAAGUAGAAUUUCAGGUGUAGCGGUGAAAUGCAUAGAGAUCUGAAGGAAUACCAGUGGCGAAGGCGACUUCCUGGCCAAAAACUGACGCUGAGGUGCGAAAGCGUGGGGAGCAAACAGGAUUAGAAACCCUUGUAGUCC
rnacentral:rRNA from 1 species